rnacentral:misc_RNA from 1 species
GAUGAAGAACGUAGCGAAAUGCGAUAAGUAAUGUGAAUUGCAGAAUUCAGUGAAUCAUCGAAUCUUUGAACGCACAUUGCGCCCGCCAGUAUUCUGGCGAGCAUGCCUGUUCGAGCGUCAUUUCAACCAUCAAGCCCCAGGCUUGUGUUGGAGCCCUGCGGCUGCCGCAGCCUCCCAAAACCAGUGGCGGGCUCGCUAUCACACCGAGUGCAGUAGUUUACUCUUCGCUCAGGGCGUGUGGCGGGUGCUAGCCGUGAAACCCCGAACUUCUCAAGGUUGACCUCGGAUCAGGUAGGAAUACCCGCUGAACUUAAGCAUAUCAAUAAGCGGAGGA